GACGAACGCUGGCGGCGUGCCUAAUACAUGCAAGUAGAACGCACAGUUUAUACCGUAGCUUGCUACACCAUAAACUGUGAGUUGCGAACGGGCGAGUAACGCGUAGGUAACCUGCCUGGUAGCGGGGGAUAACUAUUGGAAACGAUAGCUAAUACCGCAUAAUAUUGAUUAUUGCAUGAUAAUUGAUUGAAAGAUGCUAUUGCAUCACUACCAGAUGGACCUGCGUUGUAUUAGCUAGUAGGUGAGGUAACGGCUCACCUAGGCGAAGAUACAUAGCCGACCUGAGAGGGUGAUCGGCCACACUGGGACUGAGACACGGCCCAGACUCCUACGGGAGGCAGCAGUAGGGAAUCUUCGGCAAUGGACGAAAGUCUGACCGAGCAACGCCGCGUGAGUGAAGAAGGUUUUCGGAUCGUAAAGCUCUGUUGUAAGAGAAGAACGGGUGUGAGAGUGGAAAGUUCACACUGUGACGGUAUCUUACCAGAAAGGGACGGCUAACUACGUG
rnacentral:rRNA from 1 species